AGCGAACGCUGGCGGCAGGCCUAACACAUGCAAGUCGAACGAACCCUUCGGGGUUAGUGGCGGACGGGUGAGUAACACGUGGGAACGUGCCUUUAGGUUCGGAAUAACUCAGGGAAACUUGUGCUAAUACCGAAUGUGCCCUUCGGGGGAAAGAUUUAUCGCCUUUAGAGCGGCCCGCGUCUGAUUAGCUAGUUGGUGAGGUAAAGGCUCACCAAGGCUACGAUCAGUAGCUGGUCUGAGAGGAUGACCAGCCACAUUGGGACUGAGACACGGCCCAAACUCCGACGGGGUGCAGCAGUGGGGAAUCUUGCGCAAUGGGCGAAAGCCUGACGCAGCCAUGCCGCGUGGAUGAUGAAGGUCUUAGGAUUGUAAAAUCCUUUCACCGGUGAAGAUAAUGACUGUAGCCGGAGAAGAAGCCCCGGCUAACUUCGUGCCAGCAGCCGCCGUAAAAC
rnacentral:rRNA from 1 species